rnacentral:rRNA from 1 species
UCUCUUUCGGAGGCAGGGAGGACAGUGGUGCAUGGUUGUCGUCAGCUCGUGUCGUGAGAUGUUGGGUUAAGUCCGCAACGAGCGCAACCCUUAUCCUUAGUUACCAGCACGUAAAGGUGGGGACUCUAGGGAGACCGCCGGGGACGACUCGGAGGAAGGUGGGGACGACGUCAAAUCAUCAUGCCCCUUAUGUCUUGGGCUACACACGUGCUACAAUGGCCGCAACAGAGGGAAGCGAGAGCGCAAGCUGGAGCAAAACCCUAAAAAGCGGUCCCAGUUCGGAUUGUGGGCUGCAACCCGCCCACAUGAAGUCGGAGUUGCUAGUAAUCGCGAAUCAGCAUGUCGCGGUGAAUGCGUUCCCGGGCCUU